rnacentral:rRNA from 1 species
AUGGCGCUCCGGCUGAUCAACCCGAGCAGGAAGCCCCUCCUCCACGUGCCCCGCCCCUCCUCCUCCUCCUUCUCCUCCUCCUCCUCCUCCAACAACAACCCUCCCUUCCCUCCCCCGCCGCCGCCGCCCUCCGACGACCCCCACCCGCCCCCGAACCACGGCGAGGGCCCCCAGAGGCCGGCGGCGUCCUCGAUCUUCCUCGACAUCCGCGAGCGCCUCAAGUCGUCCCCGGCGCCGCCCCCGCCGCGCCGGAUCCCGGCCAACCCGCUCCGCCCCGGCGCGCCGCCCGCGGCCCCCUCCGUCGGCCUCGACGACAUCAAGCGCAGCCUCGAGUCCUUCCGCGCCGGCUCGCCCCGCUUAUCCGGCCCCGGCGUCGGCGGCGGUGGCGGCGGAGGCGCCAGCCCGUCGUUCCAGGACUUGCUCAAGAACAGCGCCGCCGCCCCGGCGGGUCGCCCCCAGGGAGGAGGAGCCCCCAACGCCGGCGGCGGCAAGCCGUUCAGCUUGAGCUUCGAGUCCAUCCGCGAGAGCAUCCGCAAGAUCGACCCGCAGCAGGAGAGGCAGCGGCAGCCGCCUUUGCGGUUCCUGAACAACACCCCGGACAACAUCUUCGGGAGGGAGAUGCGGCAGAGGGCCGGGAAGCCGCAGCCUGGGGAGGGGAAGGAAGACGAGGACGCCGGCGUUUUUCUCGCGAAAGAAUACACUCCCGAACAGCUUGGGCAGAUGCUCAGGGAGCUCCGGCCGGCGGACGCAGGGAAGGACGGGAAGGAGUGGUUCUCUCUCCAGGAGCUGCAGGGGCGGAUCGCCAAGAUCGCGGAGCAGGAGAGGGGCCAGGCUGACCCGCGGUAUGGCGGCGAGUUUGGUUUGCUCCGGCAGACCUUAACGAGCCUCCAUAAAGAUCAGAAAGGGCAGAAGAAGCAUGUUACAAGUGUCCAGCAUAUGUCACUAUUUGCAAACAUCGGUGGAAAGCCGCUGCCGGAGUACAUGCUGAGCAAUCUUCCGCCGCAGGAGGAGUUGCUAGAGAGGUAUUUCCAUCCUGACCACAUGUCAGGGGAAGAGAAGAUGAAAUUGGAGCUUCAGAAGGUGAGGGAUGAGUUCAAGAUGUCCGAGAAUGACUGUGGUUCCGCACGAGUUCAAAUAGCCCAACUGACACUAAAAAUCAAGCACUUGUCAUCCGUUCUACACAAAAAGGAUAAGCACUCUCGAAAGGGGCUCCAGGACAUGGUCCAGAGGAGGAAGAAGUACCUCAAGUACCUGCGCAGGACCGACUGGGAUUCGUACUGCCUCGUCCUGUCGAAGCUGGGGCUCCGCGACACGCCGGAGUACAAGGCGCCCGACUACAAGAAGACCCAGCCGACGAAGGCGCAGUCGAAGAAGAGCAAGAGCAAGAGGAAGAGAAAGAUGAAGGCGUAGAGCUCCGCUGCCCGGGACAGAUGAUGAUUUUCCACACUCUUCGCCUUCUCUUUGGCCUUGAGAACUCCGUUGGCGGUAGAAUCCAUCGGGUCGACAGGCACCGAUGCUCAAGAUAUCUCUGCUCGGCCAGCAACAGAAUGUUUGUUGAUCCUAGGUCUCAGCUCUCCCCUGCCCUGUUAUCAGGCCAAUGGAUUGAGGAACAAACGGGAUGAUGAUUACUUGUUUCUUCAUUUAAUCAUAUACGGGGGUUUGGUACCUUGUUGGUUUGCGUUGCCAUGUCUGCAAUCCAAAUUGACCAACGGAG